UACGAGGGGGGCGAGCGUUGUUCGGAAUUAUUGGACGUAAAGGGUGCGUAGGCGGUUUGUCGCGUCUGCUGUGAAAACCCGAGGCUCAACCUCGGGCCUGCAGUGGGUACGGGCAGACUAGAGUGCGGUAGGGGAGAUUGGAAUUCCUGGUGUAGCGGUGGAAUGCGCAGAUAUCAGGAGGAACACCAAUGGCGAAGGCAGAUCUCUGGGCCGUAACUGACGCUGAGGAGCGAAAGCGUGGGGAGCGAACAGG
rnacentral:rRNA from 1 species